rnacentral:rRNA from 1 species
UGAGGAAUAUUGGGCAAUGCCCGCAAGGGUGACCCAGCAACGCCGCGUGGAGGAUGAAUGUCGUAAGAUUGUAAACUCCUGUCAGAGGGGAAGAAUAGUACCGGUUGGACCGGUAUAUGACUGUACCCUCAGAGAAAGCCCCGGCUAACUACGUGCCAGCAGCCGCGGUAAUACGUAGGGGGCAAGCGUUGUCCGGAUUUACUGGGUGUAAAGGGCGCGCAGGCGGGAUAAAAAGUCAGUGGUGAAAUCCUACAGCUUAACUGUAGAACUGCCUUUGAUACUUUUAUUCUUGAGUUCGGGAGAGAGAGACGGAAUUCCAGGUGUAGUGGUGAAAUACGUAGAUAUCUGGAAGAACACCAGUUGCGAAGGCGGUCUCUUGGUCCGACACUGACGCUGAGGCGCGAAAGCGUGGGGAGCAAACA